UACGUAGGGACCGAGCGUUGUCCGGAAUUAUUGGGCGUAAAGAGCUCGUAGGCGGCUUGUUGCGUCGACUGUGAAAACCCACGGCUCAACUGUGUGGUCUGCAGUCGAUACGGGCAAGCUAGAGUUCGGUAGGGGAGACUGGAAUUCCUGGUGUAGCGGUGAAAUGCGCAGAUAUCAGGAGGAACACCGGUGGCGAAGGCGGGUCUCUGGGCCGAUACUGACGCUGAGGAGCGAAAGCGUGGGGAGCGAACAGG
rnacentral:rRNA from 1 species